GGGGACCCGCACAAGCAGCGGAGCGUGUGGUUUAAUUCGAUGCUACACGAAGAACCUUACCAGGGUUUGACAUGCAAGUGGUAGGAAUCUGAAAAGGGACGACCCUUCGGGGAGCUUGCACAGGUGCUGCAUGGCUGUCGUCAGCUCGUGUCGUGAGAUGUUCGGUUAAGUCCGCUAACGAGCGCAACCCUCACUGUGUGUUAUAUGUGUCACACGGGACUGCCGGUUUUAAGCCGGAGGAAGGUGGGAUGACGUCAAGUCAGCAUGGCCUUUAUAUCCUGGGCUACACACACGCUACAAUGGUCGGUACAAUAGGUUGCCAAGCCGCGAGGCGGAGCCAAUCCACAAAGCCGGCCUCAGUUCAGAUUGUAGGCUGCAACUCGCCUGCAUGAAGAUGGAGUUGCUAGUAACCGCAGGUCAGCAAUACUGCGGUGAAUACGUUCCCGGGUCUU
rnacentral:rRNA from 1 species